rnacentral:rRNA from 1 species
UGCGAGAAUCGUGAUAAGGGAACCCCGAGUGCCCGUAAAUUCGGGCUGUCCAUCAGCGUAAAAAACUGGUGAAGAAAGGGCCGGGCAAGACCGGUGCCAGCCGCCGCGGUAAUACCGGCGGCUCGAGUGGUGGCCACUAUUACUGGGCUUAAAGCGUCCGUAGCUGGAUUGUUAAGUCUCUUGGGAAAUCCGCCGGCUUAACCGGCGGGCGUUCAGGAGAAACUGGCAAUCUAGGGACCGGGAGAGGUGAGAGGUACUCCAGGGGUAGGAGUGAAAUCCUGUAAUCCUUGGGGGACCACCUGUGGCGAAGGCGUCUCACUAGAACGGCUCCGACAGUGAGGGACGAAAGCUGGGGGAGCAAACCGGAUUAGAUACCCGGGUAGUCCCAGCUGUAAACGAUGCGCGUUAGGUGUAUCGGUGACCACGAGUCAUCGAGGUGCCGAAGGGAAACCGUGAAACGUGCCGCCUGGGAAGUACGGUCGCAAGGCUGAAACUUAAAGGAAUUGGCGGGGGAGCACC